rnacentral:tRNA from 1 species
GCCUUCGUGGUGUAGUGGUCAGCAGGCUCGGGGGGUAUUCGAGAGAUCCGUGGUUCGAAUCCCGGCGAGAGCA